GGCUCGUUGGUCUAGGGGUAUGAUUCUCGCUUCGGGUGCGAGAGGUCCCGGCUUUAAAUCCCGGACGAGCCC
rnacentral:tRNA from 1 species